rnacentral:rRNA from 1 species
UACGGAGGGUGCAAGCGUUAUCCGGAUUCACUGGGUUUAAAGGGUGCGUAGGCGGAUAGGUAAGUCCGUGGUGAAAUCCUGCAGCUUAACUGCAGAACUGCCGUGGAUACUAUCUAUCUUGAAUAUCGUGGAGGUUAGCGGAAUAUGUCAUGUAGCGGUGAAAUGCUUAGAUAUGAUACAGAACACCAAUUGCGAAAGCAGCUUACUAUGCUAUUAUUGACGCUGAGGCACGAAAGCGUGGGGAUCAAACAGG